GACGAACGCUGGCGGCGUGCUUAACACAUGCAAGUCGAACGGAAAGGCCCUGCUUUUGUGGGGUGCUCGAGUGGCGAACGGGUGAGUAACACGUGAGUAACCUGCCCUUGACUUUGGGAUAACUUCAGGAAACUGGGGCUAAUACCGGAUAGGAGCUCCUGCUGCAUGGUGGGGGUUGGAAAGUUUCGGCGGUUGGGGAUGGACUCGCGGCUUAUCAGCUUGUUGGUGGGGUAGUGGCUUACCAAGGCUUUGACGGGUAGCCGGCCUGAGAGGGUGACCGGCGACAUUGGGACUGAGAUACGGCCCAGACUCCUACGGGAGGCAGCGGUGGGGAAUAUUGCACAAUGGGCGGAAGCCUGAUGCAGCAACGCCGCGUGCGGGAUGACGGCCUUCGGGUUGUAAACCGCUUUCGCCUGUGACGAAGCGUGAGUGACGGUAAAGGGUAAAGAAGCACCGGCUAACUACGUG
rnacentral:rRNA from 1 species